rnacentral:rRNA from 1 species
UACAGAGGGUGCAAACGUUGCUCGGAAUCAUUGGGCGUAAAGCGCACGUAGGCGGCCUAGCAAGUAGGGAGUGAAAGCCCUCGGCUUUAACCGAGGAAGUGCUUUCUAAACUACUAGGCUUGAAUACUGGAGAGGGUCGCGGAAUUCCCGGUGUAGAGGUGAAAUUCGUAGAUAUCGGGGAGAACACCAAGGCGAAGGCAGCUCGCUGGGACGUGACUGACGCUGAGACGGCGAAAAGCGUGGGGAGCAAACAGGG